rnacentral:tRNA from 1 species
AAGAGGAUGGUGCAAAGGUAGCACGCUGGUCUCCGAAGCCAGAAAUGGGAGUUCAAUUCUCCCUCUUCUUG